GAUGAACGCUGGCGGCGUGCCUAAUUCAUGCAAGUCGAGCGAACUGAUUAGAAGCUUGCUUCUAUGACGUUAGCGGCGGACGGGUGAGUAACACGUGGGCAACCUGCCUGUAAGACUGGGAUAACUUCGGGAAACCGAAGCUAAUACCGGAUAGGAUCUUCUCCUUCAUGGGAGAUGAUUGAAAGAUGGUUUCGGCUAUCGCUUACAGAUGGGCCCGCGGUGCAUUAGCUAGUUGGUGAGGUAACGGCUAACCAAGGCAACGAUGCAUAGCCGACCUGAGAGGGUGAUCGGCCACACUGGGACUGAGACACGGCCCAGACUCCUACGGGAGGCAGCAGUAGGGAAUCUUCCGCAAUGGACGAAAGUCUGACGGAGCAACGCCGCGUGAGUGAUGAAGGCUUUCGGGUCGUAAAACUCUGUUGUUAGGGAAGAACAAGUACGAGAGUAACUGCUCGUACCUUGACGGUACCUAACCAGAAAGCCACGGCUAACUACGUGCCAGCAGCCGCGGUAACAC
rnacentral:rRNA from 1 species